rnacentral:rRNA from 1 species
UCUUUCACCGGAGCUUGCUCCAUCGAAAGAAAAAGAGUGGCGAACGGGUGAGUAACACGUGGGUAACCUGCCCAUCAGAAGGGGAUAACACUUGGAAACAGGUGCUAAUACCGUAUAACACUAUUUUCCGCAUGGAAGAAAGUUGAAAGGCGCUUUUGCGUCACUGAUGGAUGGACCCGCGGUGCAUUAGCUAGUUGGUGAGGUAACGGCUCACCAAGGCAACGAUGCAUAGCCGACCUGAGAGGGUGAUCGGCCACACUGGGACUGAGACACGGCCCAGACUCCUACGGGAGGCAGCAGUAGGGAAUCUUCGGCAAUGGACGAAAGUCUGACCGAGCAACGCCGCGUGAGUGAAGAAGGUUUUCGGAUCGUAAAACUCUGUUGUUAGAGAAGAACAAGGAUGAGAGUAAAAUGUUCAUCCCUUGACGGUAUCUAACCAGAAAGCCACGGCUAACUACGUGCCAGCAGCCGCGGUAAUACGUAGGUGGCAAGCGUUGUCCGGAUUUAUUGGGCGUAAAGCGAGCGCAGGCGGUUUCUUAAGUCUGAUGUGAAAGCCCCCGGCUCAACCGGGGAGGGUCAUUGGAAACUGGGAGACUUGAGUGCAGAAGAGGAGAGUGGAAUUCCAUGUGUAGCGGUGAAAUGCGUAGAUAUAUGGAGGAACACCAGUGGCGAAGGCGGCUCUCUGGUCUGUAACUGACGCUGAGGCUCGAAAGCGUGGGGAGCGAACAGGAUUAGAUACCCUGGUAGUCCACGCCGUAAACGAUGAGUGCUAAGUGUUGGAGGGUUUCCGCCCUUCAGUGCUGCAGCAAACGCAUUAAGCACUCCGCCUGGGGAGUACGACCGCAAGGUUGAAACUCAAAGGAAUUGACGGGGGCCCGCACAAGCGGU